rnacentral:lncRNA from 1 species
UUUCUUUUCCAAAUACUUUGCAUAGAAUCUUAAUGGAACCCACAUCUUGCUGUGUUCAUAUUUUUGAUAAAAGACGAUUUUAUAUCAACUUAAAAUGUAGCAUCACGUGGAUACAAAGCACGAUGAGCAACACUCACUUCUGCAUAACUAAGAUGCACAUAGUCAAACAUCAACUGUGACAAAAGAUGAUAAAAAAGCAACAUAUCGGCAACAGUAAAGUCCAAGGACUGACACUAUGCCUAUGUUGAAGGAGGUGGUGGACCGGUCUGGAAAUUAUUUUGUCAUCCAUGUUGGGCAAAAAAUCUCACUAGUCACCUGCUCUAACCGCAUACACACCGCCUUUAACAAUGGCUAGUACUCUGUUCGGUGUAGCAUAGACCACGUAUGAAGCGACUGCGUACAACAAAAAAUAAACUGUAAUAGAGUCCAUAGCCACGAAAUUCUAUUAUUAAUGUACUAAUCAAAUUCCCAACAAUGUUAUACGCCUGUACUGAAAUAAGUAUAACUAGCUCUGCAACAAGUUAUAUUGGUAAAGUGGAGGCGUUCCCUGCGAUUACCAUUAUUAAUUGUUGUGGCUCAUGUGUCACAGUGUCAGCCACUCAUUUUUCUUCUUUAAUUUGACUGUGUGCAUCAUUGAUAUCUUGAAUAGCUAGAUCGUGUUCGUGCAGAGGUAUGGUGCAAUUGAUUCUCCUUGAUAUUAAUAAAUUCUUUUCAUAGAAAAAUCUCGAAAGUUCUUGUUUUGUGAAAUUUACAUAGGGAUUAUCUCAAUAUUUGAGAUCCAGUUGAUGCUAUUUUUCUUUUCUUGAAAUCGUGUUGAUGUUCUUGGGUUGCUUGUGCAAAACUUGUAUUUUGUUUGGAAAAAUAUUUACGGGAUGAUUAUAAAUCGCUUUUGUGAAAUGAUAGGUACUUAGAAGGUGGAGGUAUAGAUGGAAUGAAUCGGCGAACUAUCCACCAUUUGGAUACCAACAGGUAAGUAAAUGCAUUGAAAUAGCGUUAAAGUGCUUGUCAGACUCCCCAAAGAAGAGGCCUAAAAUAUCGGAUAUAGUCAGUAUGCUUAAUACAAUGGAAAGUACGAAGGAGCACAUUACCAAUGUUGGUAACUCUCCAGCUGGCCAGGUAUGCUCGUCGCAUGCUCUAGAAUUUUCAUUUACUGCAUAACCUUGUUAGCUUAGAAAGUAGUACUUAUGGAAGUGCCAAAUCUUUUCACGCAGAUAAGCGCUUACCCGUGGGAGCUACUUGAGUUUGACUUGCUCGAGCUGAAUUUCCCGUUCGAGAUAAACAAGCAGAUACCAUGCUCACUUCAGCUAACUAACGUAACUGAUGAUUACGUUGCCUUCGAUAUUGAAAUGAUGGGCAUACUACGGUAUUGCAUUGAACCGGAGAAACGUGUUGUGCCACCACGAUCAAAGUGCAAUGUCAUGGUAACACUGCAACCACAUGAGAGGGUACCGCAUGCUAUGGUGUGCAAGGACGAGUUGUUCAUUUUGCGGUGUGCCGCCGUGAGUGAGGGUCUCACGGCCGAGGAUAUCAUUGAAGACAUGUUAAAUAAGAAGUCGGGUAAAGAAGAAGCCGAUAAGGUGACGUUGAAGGUUGUUAUUUUGCCCAUCACCGUCGACUAAGGAACCCAAAGUAUUUAUUGUGUGCAGUUCUGGGAACAUGGUUUGCCGAGAUGGGUUCGACGUGCUCAGGAUGUAAUACAUGGCAUCUCCAAGGCAAUCAUCAACACCGUUUCUCGAAAGAGAACAUAAUUUGUGCACCGAACAAAUUUCGAGCUGUGCAACCUCUUUUCGGGACAAAAGGGCUUAUCAAAAGAUGCUUGGUGAAUUUGAGACCAUUCCUGCAAUUUCAUGGCUUUGGAACUCAUGUUGUCUGCUAAGACACAAGAUCUUUUUCUGGUUAUUUCUAUAUAACAGGCUCAACAUCAAGGAAAUGCUUCGGAGAAAGGUUUUUCUUUUUCAUCCAGGAUUUUACAUGUGUCAUAUGUGAUCAAAGAGCUCUUGAGACCCGACUCCCGAGACAUCUAUUUUUACCAUCGCCAAUUUACUCAAACUUGAUGGAAGCACAUUUACCCAAACUGACAUCCUAUUUCUGGCAACAUUCAGGAGAAGCUAGAUGAUCACAAAUCUUACCUCCAAGUACCUUUUUUUCUUGGAGAUUAUCACUCUAGUUCUGUGGGCUGUUUGGAACACCAGGAAUGACGUCAUCUUCACAGGGAUAUCCCCAAGCCUACUCAUGCAGGCGAAAGUAUAAGGAGGAGCUUCACUGCAGGGG